AUUGAACGCUGGCGGAAUGCUUUACACAUGCAAGUCGAACGGUAACAGGUCUUCGGAUGCUGACGAGUGGCGAACGGGUGAGUAAUAUAUCGGAACGUGCCCAGUCGUGGGGGAUAACGUAGCGAAAGUUACGCUAAUACCGCAUACGAUCUACGGAUGAAAGCGGGGGAUCGCAAGACCUCGCGCGAUUGGAGCGGCCGAUAUCAGAUUAGGUAGUUGGUGGGGUAAAAGGCUCACCAAGCCAACGAUCUGUAGCUGGUCUGAGAGGACGACCAGCCACACUGGAACUGAGACACGGUCCAGACUCCUACGGGAGGCAGCAGUGGGGAAUUUUGGACGAUGGACGCAAGUCUGAUCCAGCCAUUCCGCGUGCAGGAUGAAGGCCCUCGGGUUGUAAACUGCUUUUGUACGGACGAAAAGGUCUCUAUUAAUACUAGGGGCUCAUGACGGUACCGUAAGAAUAAGCACCGGCUAACUACGUGCCAGCAGCC
rnacentral:rRNA from 1 species